AACGCACAUUGCGCCCGCUAGUAUUCUGGCGGGCAUGCCUGUUCGAGCGUCAUUUCAGCCCUCAAGCACUGCUUGUUGUUGGGGAUCCGCGCUAUUGGCGGUCUCCUAAAGACAGUGGCGGUCCCGUGCAAGGCCCCGAGCGUAGUAGCUUAAUCUCUCGCUUUCGGGCUCUGGCGGGUGCUUGCCGUCCUUAAAUCGGAGAGUUCCUACGGACUUUACGAAAAACUUUUUUGACCUCGGAUCAGGUAGGAGUACCCGCUGAACUUAA
rnacentral:misc_RNA from 1 species